CUUAAUGUUAUAAAGUAAACGAAGUUAUCGAAAGCCUCUACAAUUAUGAAUAUACUUCUUACAUAGCCAUAUGAACAUUUAUAUGUAUACUUCAAGAGUAUCACACUCUAUUGUUCAAAUAGCCUAGGUGUUGUUGUUUUUUCAAAUCACGUUACAUUUGUGCGUUUUUCAAAAUAAUUCAAUGUUUAAAAUACUUGUCAUAUCAUAUGACAUGAAGUACUUAUAACGAAUAUUUUUGUAUGUCUUUCAUACACAUACAAUAUUUAGAAUGUAAAAUCAUAACUGUUCUCUUGCAAAAUAUAUGUCACCAAUAUAUGUAUAGAUAUAUCACAGUUUAAUAUAGUUAGUUUAAGGCACAUGUUCGUAGGCAACUUUAAUGGUUUUUUUUAAUGAUUCCCACCCUGUAUUUGUUUAGCUCCGCAACUUUAUGGUACAUGACGGUAAACGAUAAUGUGUGUUAAACUAUGUUCAUUGUUCAAGUAUGCCCCAACGACCUAUAUACAACCUAUAAUAAUUGUUUUCUGCCAGCCCACAUCUCACGUUUAAAGUUGGACACACAUAUGUAUAUUGAUUAGAUGUGUCCUUUAUUUCAAAUGAGCUACUUUUUAUAUUACUUAAUGUUUUAAAUAUUGUUUGUAUAAACAAUGCAUUAUAGUUAGUAUCAUGCAUAUAGAUGCCGACACAACUGUUUAAACGUUUUAAAUGUACCAUAAACCCUCAUUAACAUGAAGUCAUGCCUCAAAUUUGCAAAAGCGAUGUAUUGCUGGUAAUAUAUUAUAUUGAGAACAACAUGAAACACAAUUGUGAUUUUUUACCAUUAGUCCCCUACUUCGUUAAGAGCAUCUCAAAUCAUGUACAAACACUGAGUUGAUUAUAAGUUGGUGUAAACUAUGUAGCAGCCACAUACAUCUUACAUAUAAUUGGCAACGCAAUGAGUUAUCGGUGUUAAAUAGUUCCAUGGCCAAACUGAUAACCUAAUUACUCGCAUUUUGCAUGAUAUAUAUAUAUAUAUAAGAACAACGAUAUUAAAGCACCGCUGUUGAAAAACGGGGUUUAAUGCACACGCGUAAAUUGCCGUCCAAGAUUAACAUGUGCAGUGGGCACCGGCUGAUCUGGGACGACUCUUUCCGUUGUUAUUGUGUGUUGUUUUCGUUUGAAAGAAGUAUAUUCCUAUUUCAAAAUCCAGUUAAGGCGGAAAGUGUCGACUAAGGUUAGCCUGUGUGCACUGCACAGGCUUAUCUGGGACGACAUUUAACGCACAGUUGUUAAGCCCCGUUUUCUUAUAGCGCGGCGUAUAUGCAUUUGACUCCGAGCUUCACACUUGGUGCUUACUAUCUUAUGAUAAGUUCCUUCUUGUCAAUCAGGUGAAUGUUUACAUUGGUCAGUUAUGUGAGUCAUCAGUAAAUAUGUGGUCCCUUGUUAUGCAAAUGCAUGUGAUAUGUUAAAACUGUUAUCAUCUGUACAAUAAAUAUUCAGCAGGA